GCAAACUCAAGUGUUUUACUUAGGAUCCACUGUCAAACAAGUUAAGGGACCCAAACAUAUGGGACAAAUUAGGUAUAACCUAUCACUAACUCAAAGUGUCAAAAAUAUGAUCAAAUGAUCAUCUAUCAAAAUAUUAAAUUAGAGAAGAUUGAGUCAACCUAAAAGACCAUGUAUGGAUGACUUGAAAUGUAGAAGCAUUGAUCAACCAAGUCAAAAGCUCAAGCAAAGUCAAAGGCAUGACCAAAUUGAAUCAAAAGAUAAAAUAAAAAGGUUUUA
rnacentral:lncRNA from 1 species